rnacentral:misc_RNA from 1 species
GAUCUGCAGAAAGCAGCUGGACCACGUCUUGAACUUUCACUACCUGUAACAUGGAGAAGACAAGCCAAAAGGGAUGUGACCAAAUAGGAAUAUGUAGGGAUGAGGCAAAUCAGUUUAGAGAAAGCGUAGAAAGAAAAUGAGAGGGGUAGGGAAUCUGGGGAAGGAGAGAAAGAAAAGCUGAUAACCAACAAAUGUAGCUUCCUUUGUUGCUAAAUUCUGUCUAAUCUCUUUGAACAGAAAACCCUAAUGUGGAGAAGAAAUUUUCAUGUAACAAUAACCCAUAAUUGCAACUAAUGAUGAACCCUGUCCAACAUAUAUGUAAUCAAACAAGGCAUAUGAACCCUGAGACCAUAAGUAGAACAAAUUCUUGGCAUCUCAUAAAAUGAAGUCCCCAACUCAAACUGGC